AGAGUGUAGUAAAAAGUUGCUCAAAAAGGAAAAAGUUGCUUCAAGUUGCUCGAGCCGAAAAAAGUUGCUCCAAACGCAAAAAGUUGCUCAAAAGUUGCCGAGCACAAUCGGGACAAGCCUAGCAGAGCUUCCCCGUUGAUGAGUAAAAUCGGUUAGGAGUAUAGGGUUAGGAGUAGGGUUACGGAUACAGUGCCGUAGGAAGCUCGUUUAAUUUUGAUUGGGGAGCUGAAAGCGAGGGCCAAAGGCCAGAGGAAAUUUUUAAAUUUAGAGUCUCUGAAAUUCCAUUUCCUGGACUUUGGGGAGGAUUUGACAGAAUUCUGAUGGUAAGAAAACAGCAUUUUAGUAUGUCGAAAUUUACAAUUUAGUAGCACUAAAUGGGCGGAGGCGUAUUUAAUUAACUAUAUAUUGGAUAAGUUGCAGGAAAGUAUGAGAAAUAUCUUCAUUCUUUGCAAUUUGUCAUGGGGAUAAUGUAGCCGCUUAAAAUUAAUCAAUUUCAGUAUUUCAAAGGUAUAUUAUUUGCAUGAUAAAGGUCUGCAUGAUUUUGAAAAAGAAUGAUUAUUAGCAAAUUAUGGGGGGGGGCUGCAGCCCCCCAGCGCCCCGGGUUGCUACGGCCCUGGGUUAGGAGUAGGGUUAGGGUUCUACGUCAAUGAACUACAAAGACCGCUAAACAGCUAGUGACUCUGUACAUUUGACUCAGGCUCGGAUUUGACUCGGACUUGACACGGUAAACCGACAAACUCCUUAAUACUAAAAUAAACCAUGUAUAAAAUACCUAAUAUAAACUAGUGUAUAUAGUAUAUGCCAAACUUUCCCUGGACAUAAUGUUGCUACAUC